CCUACGGGGCGCAGCAGUGGGGGAUAUUGCACAAUGGGGGAAACCCUGAUGCAGCGACGCCGCGUGAGCGAUGAAGUAUUUCGGAUUGUAAACUUCUGCUCUUAGUGAAGAAAAAUGACGGUAGCUAAGGAGCAAGCCACGGCUAACUACGUGCCAGCAGCCGCGGUAAUACGUAGGUGGCAAGCGUUGUCCGGAAUUACUGGGUGUAAAGGGAGCGCAGGCGGGAAGCCAAGUCAGCUGUGAAAACUACGGGCUUAACUUG
rnacentral:rRNA from 1 species